rnacentral:rRNA from 1 species
ACUCCUACGGGAGGCAGCAGUGAGGAAUAUUGGUCAAUGGGCGCAAGCCUGAACCAGCCAUCCCGCGUGAAGGAAGAAGGCGCUACGCGUUGUAAACUUCUUUUCCAGGGGGAGAAUAAUCCUGUCGUGACAGGACUUGACGGUACUCUGGGAAUAAGCAUCGGCUAACUCCGUGCCAGCAGCCGCGGUAAUACGGAGGAUGCGAGCGUUAUCCGGAUUUAUUGGGUUUAAAGGGUGCGUAGGCGGAUUGAUAAGUCAGUGAUGAAAUUCUACAGCUUAACUGUAGACUUGCCGUUGAUACUGUUAGUCUUGAGUGUGGUCAAGGCAGGCGGAAUGUGUAAUGUAGCGGUGAAAUGCUUAGAUAUUACACAGAACACCGAUUGCGAAGGCAGCUUGCUGGGUCAUUACUGACGCUGAUGCACGAAAGCGUGGGGAUCAAACAGGAUUAGAUACCCUGGUAGUC